rnacentral:misc_RNA from 1 species
UUUCCGUAGGUGAACCUGCGGAAGGAUCAUUAAUGAGUUGUCAUGGGGUUCGAUGCUGGCAGCCAAUUUUUGGAUGCAUGUGCUUGCCCCAACAAUCAUCUUCCAAACACCUGUGCACAUUUUUGAGGGAGUCUUGAGUUGGUUGCCGCUCUUGGGUGAUUUUCUCACAUUCCCUUAAAUCAUUAUACGCUAUUAACAAUGUUGAACGUGCUCUGUGCCGCAAGGCUAUUAAUAUAAUACAACUUUUAACAACGGAUCUCUUGGCUCUC